AAUUGGUGGUGUAGGGGUAAAAUCCGUAGAUAUCACCAAGAAUACCCAUUGCGAAGGCGAUCUGCUGGAACUCAACUGACGCUAAGGCGCGAAAGCGUGGGGAGCAAACAGGAUUAGAUACCCUGGUAGUCCACGCCCUAAACGAUGUACACUAGUUGUUGGGGUGCUAGUCAUCUCAGUAAUGCAGCUAACGCAUUAAGUGUACCGCCUGGGGAGUACGGUCGCAAGAUUAAAACUCAAAGGAAUAGACGGGGACCCGCACAAGCGGUGGAGCAUGUGGUUUAAUUCGAAGAUACGCGAAGAACCUUACCUGGGCUUGAUAUCCUAAGAACCUCUUAGAGAUAAGAGGGUGCUAGCUUGCUAGAACUUAGAGACAGGUGCUGCACGGCUGUCGUCAGCUCGUGUCGUGAGAUGUUGGGUUAAGUCCCGCAACGAGCGCAACCCACGUAUUUAGUUGCUAACGGUUCGGCCGAGCACUCUAAAUAGACUGCCUUCGUAAGGAGGAGGAAGGUGUGGACGACGUCAAGUCAUCAUGGCCCUUAUGCCCAGGGCGACACACGUGCUACAAUGGCAUAUACAAUGAGACGCAAUACCGCGAGGUGGAGCAAAUCUAUAAAAUAUGUCCCAGUUCGGAUUGUUCUCUGCAACUCGAGAGCAUGAAGCCGGAAUCGCUAGUAAUCGUAGAUCAGCCAUGCUACGGUGAAUACGUUCCCGGGUCUUGUACUCACCGCCCGUCACACCAUGGGAGUUGAUUUCACUCGAAGCCGGAAUACUAAACUAGUUACCGUCCACAGUGGAAUCAGCGACUGGGGUGAAGUCGUAACAAGGUAACCGUAGGAGAACCUGCGGUUGGA
rnacentral:rRNA from 1 species